GGGUGCGAGCGUUGUCCGGAAUCACUGGGCGUAAAGGGCGCGUAGGCGGUUUGGUAAGGCUGUGGUGAAAGCCCGGGGCUCAACCCCGGGUCUGCCGUGGCGACUGUCAGACUGGAGGGCUCGAGAGGCAGACGGAAUUCCGGGUGUAGCGGUGGAAUGCGUAGAGAUCCGGAAGAAGACCGGUGGCGAAGGCGGUCUGCUGGCGAGUCCCUGACGCUGAGGCGCGACAGCGUGGGGAGCAAACAGG
rnacentral:rRNA from 1 species